AUGACAGUGCUAAGCUGGAACUGUCAGGGCCUCGGGCAACCCCGGACAGUUCAGGAGCUAGUGUGCCUAGUGCAUACCCAUAAGCCUAAGAUCAUCUUCAUCACUGAAACUAGACGGUGCGAGAAUAAAGUUAGGGGCAUAAAAUUGAGAUUAGGAUUAAAGCAUUGCCUCACCCAUGAUGGUAAAGGCAAAGGGGCUAGAAUAGCACUGUAUUAG
rnacentral:rRNA from 1 species